rnacentral:rRNA from 1 species
CACUCCUGCGGGAGGCAGCAGUGGGGAAUAUUGGACAAUGGGCGCAAGCCUGAUCCAGCCAUGCCGCGUGAGUGAUGAAGGCCCUAGGGUUGUAAAGCUCUUUCACCGGUGAAGAUAAUGACGGUAACCGGAGAAGAAGCCCCGGCUAACUUCGUGCCAGCAGCCGCGGUAAUACGAAGGGGGCUAGCGUUGUUCGGAUUUACUGGGCGUAAAGCGCACGUAGGCGGACUAUUAAGUCAGGGGUGAAAUCCCGGGGCUCAACCCCGGAACUGCCUUUGAUACUGGUAGUCUUGAGUUCGAGAGAGGUGAGCGGAAUUCCGAGUGUAGAGGUGAAAUUCGUAGAUAUUCGGAGGAACACCAGUGGCGAAGGCGGCUCACUGGCUCGAUACUGACGCUGAGGUGCGAAAGCGUGGGGAGCAAACAGGAUUAGAUACCCCGGUAGUCCCAUGAU